CCUGGCUAUAGAAAAAAAUUAAUUAGUAUAUGCCAACUGGAUCAACUAUUUUUUUUUUCUUUUUUUCGGAGCUGGGGACCAAACCCAGGGCCUUGUGCAUGCUAGGCAAGUGCUCUACCACUGAGCUAAAUCCCAACCCCUGGAUCAACUAUUACCACAGAUCCCAACUACAUUUGGGGAUGAGACAGGGUUUCUUUGCCUCAGCUGUCCUGGAACUCACUGUGUAGACCACACUGGCCUAGAACUCAGAGCUCUGCCUGCCUCUGUCUCCUGAGUGCUGGGAUUAAAGGUGUGCACUACCAAUACCACCGGCCCCAGCUAUCUUUUAUGCGGACUUAUAAAGAUUGCAUUUAUCCUUCCACAGGCCUCCCAAAUCAGGGAAAUUAAAACCUCGGGUCUUUAAAACUGCCAAGGGAGGAAGGAAGAAAAGACACCCAAACAGUAGCAAAGCAUAUCAGAUCAGCUGUCAAGUGGAAAAUUCAGUUUGCAAGGUCCCAGGAGAGGGACCCAGGACUGGAGGGUGGGCGUGAAUAUGAACCAUUGCUUUCAUAUAUCCAGCCCAGUGAGAGGUGCAAGGACUGGGAGGUAGGGCUCCCCAUCCCAGAACAGGGCUGGGCCGCCACCUGAGGGAAUUCUGCAGAAAUGACUCAGGAUCUGAUGGGAAAACUCUCCUCAGUUCCCAGCGAUACUGCAGGAUAGCCCAUGCAGACUUUCUCUCCAAUUCUGACAGCUUUUAGGAAGUAUGCCCCCUCCAUCUUGUUAAAUAGAUGCUGAUAAUGAUCACGAAACACCUUUUCUAUGCAUUUCCUUUGGUCAUUUUGUUUUCGUUGCUGCUGUUGUUUGGGUUGAGGAGACUGCUGGUUUUUUUCUUAGAAGGUUUCACAUAUCCUAUGCUAGUUUUGAACUCAGUAGGGGGCCAAGGAUGACCUGGAACUUCUGAUCCUGUCACCUUCGCAUUCUGAGUCCUGGGAGUUAGAGGAUGAGCCACUAUGUCUGGUUUAUGCACAACUGGGGAUGGAAUUCAGAGCUCCAUGCACCCUAGGCAAGCACUCUAACGAAUGAACUACAUCUCUAAUCACUCUAAGAUGCCAUUUUAAACAUAUUUAAAAUGCAUAGGACAAUUUUGUGACAUUGAUUUUUUUCUUUCCACCUAUGUGGGUUCCAGAAAUUGAACUUAGACCACUAGUCUUUAACCACUGAGCCCAAACACACAUACACACACAAACACACACACACACACACACACACACACACACACACACACACACAAAUACAUGCACAUACAACAAAAGAGUGGCCACAUGUGCUAAAUAACUAAACAGCACUGAGUGAAAACAGGAAGAUUGUUGGUGACAAAAUAUUAAUAUUUUGCCAUUCUUGCAAAAAUUAGACAUUCAACACAAUAUUGGACUACACACACACACACACACACACACACACACACACACCCCUAUGAGAGGGCCAAGGUAAGAAACGAGGGAUAAGAUGAGCCCAGAAAAGGUCAAAAGGAGCUUCUAAGGAGCCCUGUGCAAGAAUUAGCAACAAGAUUCACGUUCAGUCAGUCGUUUUGAACCUAAAGUCAGCAGAAGAAGCAGAUUUGUUUGUGGGAGAAAUGGAGAGACAAUGUUCCCAAGCUAAACUGAAGUCCCAGCAGCAGAGCUUUGCCAUACCCACAGAUGAAUGGGGUAGCUCUGGCUACUUCAGUACAGCAGAUGAAUGGGGUAGCUCUGGCUACCUCAGUACAGCAGCUAUAGCCUAACUCUUAGAAACAGGAGUCUGUGUAAACAGCUAAGCUGGGUGAGAUAAGGAGUAAUAUCAGAUUGCUUUUUAUUGAACAGAAAACACAAUGAAUGAUGCUCGAUCUUGUUUAAUCCAAUAUAGUGUGAGGUUAAGGGACAGGGAAGAUGUGUCACCUUCAUCCAGGGAGCAGAAGACAAGUCUGAGAUUCUGGUCAGGGCUGAUCCCUCUGGUACUAAGGUAAGAUACAGAGAGCAGAGGAAGCCCUCUCUAUAGAAACCACUAUGCCCCCACCGAUAACGCUUGAGAGUCUAACAUGGUGAGAAGUGGAGGCCUCGUGUCAGAAUGGCUCCUUUGGGUAAACACUGUCCUUUGGGAGACACCUGCAAACAAACGUAUCUUUCUAAUCUUUUCUGAGAAGAGAGGAAGCAGCAUUAUAGCUUUAAAAAUGUCCAUGAAAGGACCUCAGAUCAGGAUGAACUACACCCAGAGAAAGACCUUCUCUGUAAAUAGAAAAGACCACAAGGAAAGAUGGCUUCCUGACACAGGACCCAGCCAGAGCAGAUGCAGGGAAGCUAGCGGAUGAGUCAGGAACAUUCCAGAACUCAUUGUGCACUCUGAGGAGGGCCCGAAGGAUACCCAAACUUCUCACUUAUUGGCAAGUGAAAAGUCGUAACUUAGUGUAUACAUUUUAUUAUACACUAUAUAUAAUUAUAGUAUGUAGAGUAAGUGCUUUAUGGUUUAUCCUCUUUCUCAUGCUGAAUACUUCAGAACACGCUAACAUGAAUAACACAUGUUAAUAAACAUUAGCAUAUCCUAAGGAAGGUUUGAUGACACGUUCUUAGAUAUUUUGCAAAUUCCUUCCAUAUCUGCUUUUAGAGAAUAGGCAGAUGGGCUCUCGACUCUGUUUUGCAUCCAGCCUGUUGGGAUAGGUUUUGAGUGAGUUAUGUGUAAGAAGCUAAUUGUUUGUUCAAGUCUAUGUAUGACUUACACGGAAGUGAAGGGACGGUGGACAAAAAUGAAAAUGAAAAUGUUUUGAGAUGCGAUCUAGCUGUGCAGACCAGGCUGGCCUCAAGCUCAUCAUCCUCCUGGCUCAGGUUCUCAAUGUUGGGAUUUCAAGCAUGUGUCAUCCACCCUGGCUCUAAUUUAUCCUUUAGAGCAUAACAUUCCUAAAAAUGUUCUAACUUUCAAGAGCGCUUUCAGACAUUGCUACAGAGAAAUAUUAGGAAUGAGUGGACUCGGAUAUCAAAUUAUUAUGCUCACGAAUGCAAGGCAAACAGAAGAGCCCGUAUGUUUCGAAGAACCCGUAUGUUUCGAAGAGCCCGUAUGUUUCGAAGUCCACUUAAUUUUAACUAGGUUCAGCAAGCAGCUACAAAGAAGGGUACUCAUUUUCCCAGAGACUGUUUUGAAGCAUUCCCCGUUCAGAAUGUUUGAGACAGGUAGAAUACACAGACAGCCAAGUUCCACCUAGACAAGGAGACGAGGCUCUUCUGCCUAGCGCAGAAAAGGGCUGAGGCAGGGUGAUUUGGAAAGGCUAAGUAAUCAGGACAGAAGGGGGCAUGAGAGGCUCGGCCUGUGAAGGACACAGAGCAAAGCCAUCAGGCGGGACUUGGCGUGGCAGGUGUACCAGCUGGUUUUGUGUGUCAACCUGACAUAAGCUGGGGUUAUCACAGAGAAAGGCACUUCAAUUGAGGAAAUGCCUCCAUGAGACCCAGCUGUAAGGCAUUUUGUCAAUUAUCGAUCAAGCGGGGAGGACCCAGCCCAUUGUGGGUGGUGCCGUCCCUGGGCUGGUGGUCCUGGGUUCUGAAAGGGAGAGGGGGGGGAGGGAGGGGAGGAAGGAAGGAAGGAGGAAGGAAAGAAGGAAGGAAGGAAGGAAGGAAGGAAGGAAGGAAGGAAGGAAGGAAGGGAGAGAGAGAGAGAAGGCAGAGUAGCCACAGGACAAAAUGGAAUCUGACACUAUGAUUCCACACUGUACCUUUACAGGUUAUUAUGAAUGUUCUUAAGGGAUGGAUGUGUACUGGGCUUUGUAUGUAUAGGUGGGCAAUUAUAUCUUAUCAAUUGGAUUUAAAAAUAAAAGAAAGAGAAGACAGACAGACAGACAGGCAGACAGUAAGCAGCACAGAAUUAGCUCCUGCCUUCAGGUUCCUGCCCUGUCUGAGUUCCAGUCCUGACUUCCUUUGGUGAUGAACAGCAAUGUGGAAGUGUAAGCUGAAUAAACCCUUUCCUCCCCAACUUGCUUCUUGGUCAUGAUGUUUGUGCAGGAAUAGAAACCCUGACUAAAACAAUAGGUUUGCGAUAAAGAAAGCAAUCACAGGGCUGUUUGGUGCCUCUCCUUUCUUGCUGAUGAAAAGGAAAUCGGGGAACCUAGUGGUCCAGACCAUUAAAGCAAAGACACUAAGGGAUGAUGUAUGCACAUUAUGAAAGCUUGGAUGGUUUUCCUCAUCAUGGGGCAGACUACCCCAGUCGAGCCAACACGAAGCUGUGGACUCUUUUUUUUCUUUUUCUUUUUUUUUUUUUUUCCGGGGCUGGGGACCGAACCCAGGGCCUUGCGCUCGCUAGGCAAGCGCUCUACCGCUGAGCUAAAUCCCCAACCCGAAGCUGUGGACUCUUUAGCUGUGCCUGCCCUUGGGUGCUCCCGCUGAACCACAGUAGAGCAGAGCAGAGCCACAGCAGAGGCUGGGUUGGGGCAGCCUGCUGGACCUUGCAGCCACAACAAUUUUUCAGAAUAUGAAAACUGUCAUUGCUUUCAAUGAGGCAGUGACCGUCAAGCUACACGUAGCCUGAGAGGAACGAGACUUCUAAUAGGAUCAUUGUCACAAUAAGUUCAUGGGCCACAGAGACCUGCCAAGCAGUUUCAGGGGACAGCAUUUGGGUAAGUAAGCUCCAGACCCACUUGAAGUCCAGCAGAUUAGAGAGAUGUAGUUUUAUCAGGACUAACGGCCAAUCAGAGAUGGAAAACUAAAGAA